GGCUGACGGGGAAACAAAGGGGAACAAAGCGACGGCGGCCGCGGCCGCGGCGGGCUCGUCCCUGGCGAAGGGUCGGGAUCGCCCUCAAAUUAACUGCGGUGUUGGGAAGGAGAUAUUUUUCGGGUCUGAAGGCGGAAGGAAUCGGGGUUGCGUUGCGCCGUUCGGUUUGCCCUAGGCCGGUAUCAAUCCCGACAAAAUCAGCUCUAAAAAUCGGGCGGGAGGGGUGCGGAGGACCCUUUGUCGGCGGAACGCGGCGCAGAGCGGUGCGGAGCGGCGCGGAGGGCCGCGGCCGGGACGGCCCCGUCGGUGCGCGGGGGCUCCGCUGGGCCCCGCCCGGGAACCGCGCCGUCCCUGCGCAGGGAGCGGAGCUCCGGCUGCGUCGGGAGCGAGGGGCGCCGCUCCGAGCGGCUCCUGAGUUUUGAAGGCUGUUCCGCGGGGUGCGAGUGAGGAGCGUUGGGGUGAAUCAUUCCCCCUUUAAAAAAAAUAAAAAUAGCGAGAAGUGGUACGUUUGGUAAUUAAAGCGUUUCAUCUGAAUAAAUAAUGCUUGUUAAGCGAGGUGGUCGGAGCGGCUCCGCGUGUGUGCGGUGCGCGGGCACUUGGCUUGUCGGGCUUUUCGGAAAGGCGGCCGUAGGCGCUGCUCUCGGAGCGGGGCUCGGCGCUGCCGGCCGUCGGUCCCCAGGCUCGACUGUGCUCCCCGCCGUGCCCCGGGGUGGGCGAGAGGGGAGGCAGGAGGAGGGCGGGGGGGCGGCCUGCGCGGAUCCCAACUUACUUCUUCACUUCGGCUUCACUACGUCCAGAAAAUUAUAUAUAUAUAUAUAUUUUUUUUUCUUAAAAAAAGGAGCACUUCUCCGUUUUUGUCAUUAAAAUAAUUCCCUAUAUUCAGGCACAGAGUUCUUGCUCACAAAUAUAUUAUUUGGCUACGAGGUAUGUUUUGCAGUGGUACAUCUUUUGCGACGAUACCUAUUUUGCUGUGAUAUCUGUAUUAUUAUAGUAUUGGGAUUGGAGCUCUCCCCUUAGCGUUCAGUAGCUCCCCGUGGGGCAGUGCCAUGCAUCUCGCCCCGAGCCAGGGCUGUGCCGUGCCGCUUUGCCGCAGUUCCGUCCCCCCGCGUUAUUUGUCGGCGGCAUUUUUAGGAGGACCGCAUCUCGGCGCUCCCUUCGCCGCCGCCGCCGCCCCUCUCUCCGCCGCUCGGAGCCGUACGGGUCCGCUCCCGGAGCGCGGAGGGGAGCGCCGUGAUUCAUGCGCCGGGGGUGGAACGGGAACAGCGGAACGCAAUGAACGGGCGUUACUACCGGCUCCGGCCAUUGUUACGGGAAAAGCUGCGAUAAAACUCCAGCGGGGGCUUUUCUAAACGGCGUGUCCCGUUUAACUUUUCACCAGAAGUCAAUGUCCUUUAAAAGCAGCGCCGAAGGUCCGAGGCAGUGAGGGGACCGCGGCGUUCCCGCUUGGAGCGGGGCGGUGCGGGGACGCUCGGUGGGACCCCCGGGCGGGGCGGGGGUCCGGAGGGACCUCGGGCUCCGCUCCUCGCAGCCCCCCCGCCCCCAUCCCGACUCGUGGUGAGGCUCUCGGGCAGUCACAGGGAGGAAGAAACGAAUCGGUGGUGGAAGAAAAGGUGAUUAAAUUAAAUUACUUUGGGGAUUAUGGGCCACAUGCGGCGUAUUAAAGUGCUUUAAGCUACUUUGUAGCUUCUUUGGCAUUAGGGCGUUUAAUGCGGGCUCGGUCGGUGCCCGAGUGCUUUGCUGGGUGAGAAAGAGUCGGGUGGGAGAAGGAUGGGACGCCGAGAAAAAGGAGGCGGGGGCAGAACGGAGAGCUCGGGCUCUGGGAACUUUGCUUUGCUCCACGUAAACAAAAUCGGGCUUUAAUUUGCCGUGUUAUAAACAAUAUUUUUUCUAAUCGGGGUCACUGGUACGAAAGGAAAAUGACCGUCUGUAGGCAGGGAUCCGAAAUGGGUAAUGCCGCCCAGGCAGCGUGCUUUGCUUAUUGCCGAUGGGGCUCGGGGACAGCCACUGCCAGAUCCCGGGGUGCAGUGCCCGGCCGGGACGAGGGCACAAAAGUCGGAGCUUUGAAGCUGAGGAAGGAGAAACCCGAUUCCUUUCCCAGAUCCUUCUUUCCCCCGUGCACGAGCAGUUCGGUCGGGGCAGUGCGUCGGCUGUCGGCAGAUGUCUGAGAUCGAGGUUCGGAUCUGCAGGGAAAGCAGCAGCGUGGGGAGCUCCUGAAAUCACGGCAGCGUGUGUAACAUUUCUCACUUGGUUCUGGAUGUGCCCAGAGGGAAAGGAGGGGGCAAGGGGAGGACGAGGGGGGUCCUCUCUUGUUUUACCUUAAGGCAAAUACCUCUUUCAUGAUCGAGGGAAGAGGCAGCAGUUUUUUUUUGCAGUGGUGCAAGGAGUGCUUGUUGCUAGAAAUGCUUCCCAUUUUGUUCCUGAAAAGUGCGCCAGAUGUACUGGAGAUCUCGCACCGCUUUAUUUAUGCAAUGCGACGUGAGGGGAGGGGGGCGUGCUCGGUCCCCGGUGCAGCCGAGUUGGCUAAAUUUGCUGUGCUGUGCUGCAAAGGCUGCGUGCUGAUUUAUCCCACUGGCAGGGCAGAGGGGCCUCUCCUCACUGCUGCAUCCCUGCUCCCUGAGGAUGCUGCACAGAAAGCCCACUGCCCGCAGCGUGCCCUGUGCUCAGCUGAACCCGUGUUAGCCAAAGGGCUGGGGGGCUGCGCGUCCCACUCUGGGGGAUGGCCGUGUGCUGCCGGGCUCAUGCAGACUGCAGCAGAAGCUCCCUGCUCUGCCACAGCCCGGCCCCAGGCACAGGGAUGGGAGCACGGAGCCCUCACUGCGAGCAGAUGGGGGUGAGUUAAUGGGGUACACCCCGUGGGCAGGGGCUGGGGAAGUUCUUGCCCUGCAGUCAGGUUUGCUUCUGUUACAAAGAGUUCUUAAAACAUAAUAAAUAGAGCAGAGAGAAAACAAGCGUUUCCCUAAGUGGGACCACACUGCUCUUCCCAGCUGCCCGAGGAACAGAAUGUUUUGAUGAAAUCAAUGAUGAUGUAUAGCAAACGAUUUUACUCUUAACCAGCUGCCACCUUAUUUUCUGCCAUGUUGAUCUAUUCAGACACACGAACACUUUCUCUUCCUUAAGAAUAUACAUUUGCUAGAGGAGAAUCAUCAAAAACUCGGUGAAUAAUUUCUAUGUAUCAGCGCUGUCCGAAGAGAAAGCAGCACUCGUAAUCGGAAAGCAAACCGUCUGGAGACAGCACUGGGAGGGCUGCAAUGCUGUCCCUCUGGUUUCCCCUCGAAGGGCCGUUCCCCCUGCCCAUGCCACACACACAGCCUGUGGCAGGCACAGAGCUUGGCCCCUGGGAAGGGGCAUCGGGACCCGUUGCCCUCUCCCCGUGUGCCCCCUCCUCUGUACAAACUGCUGGUGGCAUCCAGAGGCCUCCGCCGCACCGAGUGAGGUUCACACACUCUCGGGAUCUUUAAUUAGAACCAUGCUGCACGCAGUGCUUUCAUAGCUUCUCCGAUUUAUUAUUUAUGAUUUAAGGCAAAGACAGAACAACAAGAAAAUAUUUUGGCUUUGCUUGCUAUGGAAAAGUGGCGUGAGGUGGCACAGGGCAAUAAACAUAAAAAAAAAAAAAUUAAAGAGAAUUUCCACGGCAGUGCCCACCCGGUGCUGUGUGGGGCUGCUUUGUGCACAGAGCCCCAUCUGCUCGGUCACUGUCAUCACAUGGAGGUGCGAUGUCCACGGCUGGGAUGGGGCAAACACCGCACAGAAGUACGGUGGGGGGGGUUCACGGGCAGAUGCUGCUGCUCUGACAGCAUUUUCUUCCCUGUUAGCCCUCCCUUUAAUCAGCACGGCAGAAAAAGAGACUGCCGCAAGCCCCGUGUUGACAGCGGUCAUUUAAAAUGCUGCGGGGAGAGUGUGACGGACCGUAGCAUUCAGGCUGCAGCACACGGCACUGUGGCUGUGCUGUUUGUUCAGCUCGUUUCCCGGCUGAGAGGUGUGCACCGAGCCGCACACCGCCAGGUCCACUUGGUCCCAGUCGCGCUCUUUGAAGUUCGGGUGUUCGUCGGCACACACACCCUGGGCUUUGCUUCCUAAAAACCCCCAAGAUAGCGGCUGGGAGUGCUGUGCAGUGCUGCGUUCUCCUCCCGGCCGCUGCCAGAAACAACACGGCCGCUCUGCGCGAGGAGCGCGGGACGGGACGGUGCCUGCGCUGUGAGGAGCAGCCCGGGCUGUGCAGCUGCCUUCCCCAGCAGGCAGGCGGCUCUCCGGGGCGCCCUGUGCGUUAGUACAGCACCUCGGUUGGUAGGGGCAGCCCUGAAACUAAGAGGGAAAAUUAAAAUAGGUGCAGCUGCGGCUAUCUCCCAUGGAGAGGGUUCAGAGCGCAAAGUGAAACGGGGAUGCGGCAGAAACUGGGUUACGUGGCUCUGAGUAAAUGCUCUCCCAUCAGAGCAGGAUUUAUUUUGCAUCGCUGCUCUAGAUCUUGUCCUGAGGAUGUUUAACUCACCCAGAGCUGUUUGGCCUCCAGGAUGGAUUCCUACAAUUACAUGUUUAUGAUUGCGAGCGCUGCCACGGGAAGCAGCAGGCGGAUAUCAUUUUGGGAGUGCUGAGAGGCACGGAGGGAGCUGGAGAGCUUUCUCCUGGGCUUCAGCCACUGCUACACUUCGGAGGGAGGCUGCAGCACACUUGGGGCCUGAGGUGCUGCUGCACUUAGCAGCUUGAACAACAAGGCAUCGGAUGGGUAUUACUGCAUCGCUGUAAUUUUAAACUUCUUCCACGUAGUGACAACGUGCAGCCUGGGGCUGUGUGCAGUGCUCACCUCAGACAUAUUCUCAGACCGCUCACGGCAGGCGAUGAACGCGGCCUGCCCGAGGCCCUACGGCUGGAGGCCUGCAGGGCUGGGCACGGCCUCCCACAGCCCCCCGCACUGCCCAGCCUCAGUGACCUGCCCAGCACCCACCUGCUGCCCCCAGGAUUCUUGGGGCACCUCAGUCACACUCUGCGGCACAGAGCCUGGGGAUGCCCGGCUGUGGGAGCCCCGGCUGGUACGAGCCAUAUCCGAGGCUGGACUGCGGGCAUCUAUCUCAGCCAUCUGCCUGCAGACCCAUGCCAGAUGUGGCUCAAAGUCCUCAGAUGCCCUCUGCUGCCAUGGACCAGAAUUAACAGAUGGCUCCGUGUAACCGGGUUCAGAUUUGCUGAAGUUUGCUAUUAUCUCUGCUUUUGUAAAUGGAUGGGGGAGGGGAAAUAAUAUCUGGGAUUAUUACAAAACAGGCAGAGCUUUUCAAAAAGUGUUAAGUCUGGGUCUGGGUCCCUUCUGACUGUGAAUACCAUGUCCUGUAUUUCAAAAUGUUAACACUAUUUUUAGCUUUCUCUUUAGAGCUCCCUCCCCUGAUAGCUUAGCCCUCUGGGUAUGAGUUUGGCCCAGCGAGCCACCCAGGGCACGGCACACUUUGCCCCAGCAUUUCGGGCCCCAUUGUGUCUGAUGGAACCAACCCUGCUGCUGUAGCGGGGCUCUACUCAGGGCAGGCUCUGAGGGACGCAUUCAGCUGCUCCAUAUCCCUCUGCAUCACAUGGGCCAGUAUGUGGGGGUCUGUGUCUGAAGUGGGACAGGUGGCACCUAUGUCCCACAUGCGUGCCUGUGUCAGGGCAGGUCUGCGUGUGGGGACACACGCAACAGCCGUAGGUCAAACACAACAGAUCCUGGAAGGGAUCCCUUGGCAAGCUCCAAGGAUUGAGCAGCUUCACUGUGCCUGAGCUUUCGCUGUGCCUGAGCUUUUGCUGUGUUUCUCACAGCAGCUCCUAUGAGGAAAAGCCAACUGAGCUUCCCCACCUAAGCUCCCAGCCUGGUUCCUAAUGGAGGGGAGCAAGGUGGUCUGUGUCCCCUCUGUGUACAGUGCCAAAGCCACCUAUGUCCUGGGGCCAGCCACUCGCUGGGACAGGAUGGGAUGGGAUGGGAUGGGCUUUCCCUGCCAUCCUCCACUUUUAGCCACACAGUUCUAUGCUGCUUGCAUUGUUCUAAAGCUUGCUUUCUUUUCUUUCUUUCUUUCUUUUUUUUAUUCUAGAGGAUAAUCUUGAAUUUACAGAAGUCCAUGGCAAAACCUGGUUGUGAAUGGGGGCUUUGUUCUGCAAGACUAUUUCUGAAGACUCCUGGCUCUCUGUCCACCUUUGCGUACGAGGCUGACACAUGGAUCUGUCCACCCACGCUGUGCCCAGCAGCAUGCCCCCUCCUUCCAGCUGCCCUCUUGCAGGGAUGCACACGGCUCUCCGGACUGUGGGCUGCAUCCUGUCAUUGUGGCAAACCUGUGGAGCUGUGCUGGUUUAUAAAACCUGACAGCAUGGUCCAUUGCAUUUAUAAUUUCUAAAUCCAUAUUUUUCCAAUUUUUUUUCCUGCAGUGGCAAGUUUUUUCUAUCCAUCUGGGAGCAGAAUCCUGUGCUUCGCGUAUGUAAAUAACAGCUGUUUCCACUCGAUUGCAUUUAUGUACUUAACACUUCAAAAUAGAUUUAUUCUAGAAGUUUCACAAUCUAGUCACCAUCCCUACUUAGACAGAGGUACCGGGGAGAGGUUAAUGAAACCCCUCUGGACUGGCUGACAAAAGGAUACAGCUGCAGAGCUGGAAUCCCCACAUGGGAUGGAUUGCUGAUGCUGACAGCUGUGCUCCAAUGCAUGUGGAGGUGACUUCAACUCCUGAGACACCCUCAGCUCCGGCUCCUGGGGCUGCUGAGGGAGUAGCAGGGUGCCGGGUGAGGAGAAGAGCUGUGCUGAACUGGUAGUGCCUUCCUGGCAAAGUUAAUUUGUCAUGUAGAGCAGCUGAACAGGGGAAAAAAUGGUAAAAGCUCAUCUGCCAGUGUCACAGAUUUUUAAGUGAAUUAACAUAUUGCAUCCUGAGAAGAAAAAGCAGCUCUUUAAUGCUCUGAUAUGUCUUUUGUUGCUAUGUUGCUAGCUCUGAAAUGAAAAUGCAGCCUUUUUAUUUUAAGAUGUGUCAAUGAAGAUUUCAAAAAAUUAAUGUCCAAUUAUUAUUUUUGUCCAGAAACCUCAUUGUUUUCCCAAAUGCCUCAACCUGAGCUAUUUCAUUAGACUUCUUGGAUCCUCCGGAGGCUGAGGAUUACAGAACAUUGAUCUUUAGUUACCCUUCAUUCAUUCCAUUUACUCUGAUGCAGGCUGCUGAAAGAAUUAUUUGUUCCUAAAUCCUGACUUUUUUAUGUUACUGUAUUUUUUUAAUUUUGUUUAUCCAGAAGGAAAAUACUUUGAUGUUUACUGCCAUCUCAACUGGAACACCUGUGAACUAGGCAGGACGAUGCUGAGGACUUCAGCUGUGUGGAGAGAGCAAUAACAAUGAGUGAGCUGUUGCUCUCACACAUCCUGACAUGCCUGCGCUGGAGUAUUUAUAGGAGGAGCAAAGAGGAGCUGAGGUUGGGUUGUCUGUGAGAAGAGCCACCUGCUCCCACACGGCGUGUCUGUAUUUCUGGAUAAGAACAUUCCUGAUGCCAGGAGGACCAGCUUACAGCCUUGCCAACAUGGUUCCACCUAGGGCUCCUCCUGCUUCCCUGCCCCACAGCGCUCCCUGGACUCUGUGGUGCCCAGUGGAUCCAAUGUGGAAUGAUGCCUUUUUGUGUUUCUUUCAGUUCAGAGCAUCUGAAAUGAGGUGAAACCACUCUGCAGCCUUCGAGAAUGGCGCUUCCCUAGUGUGAACGUGAGCUACCUGGAAUUAUCAGAUGGAACCAUGGGCUCAUCAGAAGAGGGACUAUAAAGAUGCAUAAAAUAAGCAACUGUUAUUUCUUUGGAAUAAAUAGAAUGAAAGAAAAAAAUGUAACAGCUUCACUACUAACUUUUAGCAAUGGAGGGCUGAUUAGACAAAAGGAGGUGAGAGAUUAAAAUCCUAUGCACAAUUAUUAAGUGGGUGCAUUACUGCAUGCAGAGAACAAAAACCGGGAAGUUAGAAAGCUCUUGCAGUGGAGGCAAAACACAUUGCUUCAUUUGCUCAGCAAGAGAAAACUGCUUAUUCUUUAAAAUAUUUUGCUGACUUUCUCGUCUCUUCAUUCAGAACUUCUGUAUAUGGACUAUAUGCUAGUAAAGUAAAGUAUGUUUAAGCAGAGUACUUCUACAUUUUUGUCCUCAAACUGUUCCCCUACCCCCCCAAGUCAAUCAACCAAAAAAUAAUUCCCAAACACCGGAAGACUCCUUUUAUUUGCUACGAUAUAGGCAUCUAAGUCUCCACUAAGCUCCACCUCCCUUCACAGAAGAGAGAAAAGCACCUCCAGAGAACAAUGUGUGUCUUAGUCUAGGCCUUUUUUUUUUAAAGGGGAUUUACUGCCUUAUUGAGGUACUUUGUAUGCAUGCCUAUUGACUAUAAGGUGAGUCUACAACAGUUAACUCAGGUUUAGAUGUCUAAUUAGCAGUUGCCUCAAUGUUAGGUACGCAAUUAGCCUGAACUUUAUUCUAGUGAAAAGUGGGCUCUGAGUCAAUUUAUUAUAUGGUAGUAUUAAAGUGAAACAUGCAUCCUCCAUUACAGAAGAGGAAUGCAGCCUGCACAGCCUAUGUCUGCUUGAUCAUAUAACCUUGUACUGUUUUCCAGGAUGGAACGAGAAUGUGGGAAAUUGUAACAACGCGCAAUGAAAAUUGGAAUAACUGAGAAAGGCAGUGUUGGCAUCAAAAAGAAAUUAUUACAGUGACAUAUUAUAGAGCUGCAGUGAAGAGUUAAUGGUGGCACAGCAGAAUUUGGUGAUGUCAGGUGAAAUCCAGGCCCUUCCAACAGCUAGUUUUUCCAUGGGGCUGAAUAGCUGCACAGGGGUGGGGGAUGGGGUGGCUAACCACUCCUUCCAUUCUUGUCUUGAGGAACUGAAGCAUACAGACAUGAAACUUGUCAAAUGGGCACAUUUGGCACUGCUGUACUAUUGACUCAUUUUUUCAAAACCGGAAGGGUUGGGUGGCUUUUUUUGUUGUUGUUUAAUAAGCAUGAAGAAAGAUACAUCUCUGUGAUACAUGAGAAAAGUCAAAUAGUUCAAAGCAAACAGAAAAGUGCAAGAAAAGAGCCUUUGGCCCUUUGAAUCCAAGCACUUUCAGGCCUCCUAGCAAAUAUCUUAUUCUUCAGUACUUGCAAAUUUAAUUAAAUAGCAGCUGGUGCAUGUCUCUCGUAGUGCUUAAGUCCCACAAUACAGCUAUAUUAUCUAUGGCUUCGGACAAAUCUCGUAGAGCCAUUGUGCAAGAUUGCCUCCCGGUGGUGGUACCACGAACCUGCAGAAUGACAUAAUUUGCACACAGAAAAGGCAAAAAAAAAAAAAGAAAAGAAAAAGAAAAAAAAAAAAGAAAACAAACACCUGUUUUAAAAGAAUGCUUCCUUUUUGAAUUCAGGUCUGAGUAAGUGAAAAAUUUCAGUGUGAUUUAAAUGGCCUGAAUUGAAGGCAAACCUUUUGAUAUUUGACUGAAGCAGAGUUUUCUAGUGGAAUAGCAUACUGACAAGGAAAGCUCAAUGAGACUUUAAGACAUUGGGAAAAAUUAAAAAUCAGUAAGAUGUACCCAGUUGCACACUACCCGCAGCAACGAGCCUCUUGAAGGCUGAAACAGUAACAAUUAAGCGCAAGGCAAAUGGCUGAGUGCCCUAACUCCAAUACAAAAACACUACAGCAGAUUUCCCAUUCCACCAAUUCUAUGCAGCUCAAAUUUUCAGUUACAAAGUUAACGGAAGAGACAAGAGAACAACAAGUCCCAAACUACCUUUCAAAUUGAUUGUUCUUUUAGGUAAAAGCAGGAAAAGUCUCGAGCAGAUGAAUUUCUAAUUCCAAGUCUUCAAGUAAAGAGAAACACACAGUUAAAGACAGCUUUAUGUAGCCGUUCAGGACCAUGAAAGCCUGGAGGAGAGCUUGAAAUCACUGUGGGAGUAGGAGUUUAGUUGGGUCACGCUUCAGAUGACCCAGACGAAAGAUUUAGUAUAAGAAAACAGAAAUAUUGGCAGCGUAGUGCAGGGAAAGAUUUUAAAACACCCAUUUUAUGGAUUAACGUAACAACAAAUUGGCAGAGGGUACAUGCAGUGAGCGUGUCUUAGACUCGCUCAGUUUCCAGUAACUGGUCAGAAGGGAAGUACUUUAAAUCAGACAGCAGUCCCACAUGUAACAGAUUUUUAGUCCUCCUUUCUUAAACUGGAAUGAAAUCAAGCAGAGACAAAUGAGGUCUCAGCUUUCCAGAAAUAAGGGUCAUUCAGUUUUACACAGUGGAAUAUAACAAAACAGUGAGUGUGCAAUGUCAGCUUCUCACAUGUGGGCCUGUGUCAGUAACAGGCACCAUAAACUGAUGCAAAUGCUAAAAUUUGCCACACCACUGAUUACUAAAAACCCUUCAAAAAGUGAUAUUAUAGGCAGAAGAAUAAUUAUUUUUGUUCAGUUGAAUUUGCAAAGCAAGCAGCCCUCCUUUCCAUAAACACAAUAAGCAUUCCUUCAUGACAGCAUGCCUGUUAUCACGUGAGCAACACACUGUAUCACAUGAAGCCCGAAUCAUCAGGCUGACGUAGGAUUAAACACGGCAUCAGAUUAACAUACAAGCGUAGCAAAGAGAAGCAGAACUAUUUCAUGCUGUGCCAGGGUAAACCAUUAUCGGCUAACCAGCAUUAAGUUUUAAAAAUGACAUUCAACAAAUACUUAGACUAGCUUGGCAAAGUUUUCCAGGUCUUAAAGGCAGCUUCCUUAUUGCACGCAUCUGACAUUCACUUUAGACAAUCAAAGCAUUCAAGGAAAAUAAGUUAUUUAAUAACUCUAGAAAAAGCAGGUUCACUUCACACUAAAACGACCAGAAUUAAAGACUUUAUACGGUACUCAUCUUAAGCAAAAUGUACGGAUAACACAAGCUGGCAAAAUGACACUAGAUGAAUGCAAGAAACAAGUACCUUCCUAUCUUAUCCAAGUUGCCUUGGAAAGGAAGUGAGAUCAAAAUGUAUGAGUUUGGAGAUUUUUUUUUUAAUCAGUAUUUAUUCAGAUGCACAAAGACAAUGAUGUCACUGGGAGCUCCGUGGAGGCAUAACGCUCCAAGCUGGCACUUUCUAUUGGAAGGUUGAUCCCUAAAACUGUAGACUGGAGUAAAGAAUCUCCUAUUUCUGAGAAAAGAAAAACAACAACAGUAGAUGACAAUAGUUUAUUAGCAGAAACAUUUAAGCACUGCAAGGUGCUAAAGCUAUGAAGUAGAUUAAAACCACGUUUCUUGAAUUUAAAGCAUUUGAAGGACCAGUCCUUCCCCCUUGGUAAGCUGGAAAGAGCUAGGUAUCUUCACUGAAUGAUUACUGGGCUAAAGCAAAGAACUAUUCCUCCCCUGAGCUACAUCUAUUUAAUUUAUACACGAACAUAUGUAGCAUCCUAACUGAGCAAUAGUUAAGGUGAAUUUAAAAUAAUAAAAGUAAAGCCAAACAUACACAAAAAUAUCUCAAAUAUGUGGGAAUACUGAAUGAUUAAAGGGGGAGUGAUGCCUUGGAAGCUGAAGUUUAACCAAGUUGCACAGCUUUCAAUGUAAGAAAAGAGCCCUAAAUUCUUUCAACGUCAGUAUUCAAAGCUCGUCUGCAGUUCAAUUAUUAGAUUUCUAAAAUAAGAAACCACAGCAUGUCCAGUUCUAGAACUCCCACUCUGAAACACUGCUUCUAUGCAUUCACUUUAGUAACAAUAAGCCUCUGACCUAGUUUAAUCAGAGCACUCCAUCAUCUGUUACAUCCAGUUCUAAGACCGGCACAUUCUCUUAUCCUACAUGCACGGUAUUCCUCAGAGUCCUUAUUUCACUAAUGCACUUUUGUUGUUUUUCUACUGUCAGCUAACUGAAACAGGAAAAAAAAUCAAACUUAGUUAAGCAUGGUUUAAUUAAAACACACAUGUAGAACUAA